rnacentral:rRNA from 1 species
AAUCGUGACUCGGGUUACCGCGGCUGCUGGCACGGAGUUAGCCGGUGCUUCUUCUGCGAGUAACGUCACAGAUGUAAGGUAUUAACUUACACCCUUUCCUCCUCGCUGAAAGUGCUUUACAACCCGAAGGCCUUCUUCACACACGCGGCAUGGCUGCAUCAGGGUUUCCCCCAUUGUGCAAUAUUCCCCACUGCUGCCUCCCGUAGGAGUCUGGGCCGUGUCUCAGUCCCAGUGUGGCUGAUCAUCCUCUCAGACCAGCUAGGGAUCGUCGCCUAGGUGAGCCUUUACCUCACCUACUAGCUAANCCACUGGGCUUAUCCAUCAGCGCAAGGCCCGAAGGUCCCCUGCUUU